ensembl:snRNA U6 U6 spliceosomal RNA
GUGCUCACGUCAGCAGCACAUAUACUAAACUGGAAUGAUACAGAGAAGAUUAGCAUGGCCCCUGCACAAGGAUGACACACAAAUUCAUGAAGCAUUCUGUAUUUUU